UCCAAAAUCAAUUGUAUUUUUUAUAUUAGCAAACAAUUGGAAAAUAAAGGUUUUAACUUCCAUUUCCCAUAGCAUCAAAAAAGUUUAUGGAAAAACUAAAACAUACUUUUGGUAGAAAUUAAAGAAUAGCUAAAUAAAUGUAUAGACAGAUCAUGUUUCUGCGUGGGAAGAGAUGGAUGGAAGAACAUUGGCAAGAUGUCCGUUCCCCACAAAUAGAUCUGUAGAUUUAAUGCAAUCCCAAUCAUAACACCAGUAGGCUUUUUAGGUAGAAAUUGGCAAACUAAUUAUAAAAUUUAUAUGGAAAUGCAAAGGAUCUAGAACAUCUAAAGUAAUCUUACCCCAAAAAGAGAACCAAGUUACAUUUAGAAUGAGGGAUUUCAAGACUUACUAUAAAGCUACAGCUAUUAAGAUAAUAUGAUACAGUAUGAAGGUCAACACCUACAUCAAUGAAACAAAACAGCACAGAAGGAGGUGCUCACUUACAUCAUCAUUUGAUUUUCAGCACAGGUGCCAAAGUAACCCUAUGGAGAAAGGAAACUUUCUGCAGAAGGGGCUAGGGCAACUAGAUAUACAUAUCACAAAUUCAUCCAAAGUGGAUCAGAGUAUUAAUUAUAAUGCUUGAAACAAUGAUGCCUUCAGAAGAAAACACAGGAGACUAGCUUUGUGACUUGGGAAUAGGCAAAGCUUUCUUAGGAACAGAAAGCAACACUUUUAAAAGAAAACAAAAUUUGCUAAAUUAGACUUCAACAAAAUUUAAAACUGCUGCUUAUCCAAAGGGACCAUUAAGAAAUCAAGCAAACCGCAGAUUAGGAAAAUAGAUAUUUGUAAAGUAUAUGUUUGACAAAAGACGGACAUUCAGGAUAUAUAAACAAUUCUCUAAUGAAAAACAAGCACAUUUUUGAAAAGGGCAUAAGACUUGAACAGAUACUUACAUGAAAGGAGAUAACACAAAUGGCUAAGAAGCAGAUAUAAACACGUUCAACGUCAUGUGUCAUUAGGGAAAUGCAAAACAAACCACAAGGAGAUACCACUACAUACCCACCAGAAUGAUUAAAUUAAACAGAUUGAUCACUUUGAGUGUGGAAGAAUCAGAACUCUUAUACUUGCUGAUAUAAAGUAGGGCAGCCAUUUUGGAAAGGGUCUAGCAGUUUCUCUCAGACCAAUUACACAACUACCAGCUGCUGAGUACAGAUAACAAUAUAAAUGAAUCUCAGAAACAUUAUGCUGAGUGAAAGAAGCCAGACACAAAAGAUACAUACUGCACAAUUCCAUUUACAUGAAAUGGUAGGACCGGCAGCACUAAUAAGUGAGAGGGGAGAAAACCCAGAACGAUGGAGCCUCUAUGGGGGUGGGUAUGGAGACUGGGUGGAAGGGGCAUGGGGCCUUUCCAGGGAAUGAAAACAUUCUAUAUGUGCCAUCCAAUACAGGACCACUGGCCAGGCCACAUGGGCAUGUUGAACACUUGGAAUGUGACUAGUCUGAAUGGAGAUGUGUUCCAAAUACACACCAGAUUUUGAAGACGAGCGUGGAGUCCCAAACGGAUGAAAUCAUGCACCUAUAGUCCGUCCUUCCAUGUCCCGCCCUCCUCCUUUGCUGACCGGAAGGGUGUUCACCAAUAUUCACUUUGGACAGCCUGCUCUGCCUGAGGACAGAAUUUGAGAUUCUUCUUCCACUUCCACAAGGUCAGGGUCUGGGCUGCUGGGCAGGAGCAGUGGAAUGACACAGCUUCUGUACUAUCAAAGGCAUUAAAAGGUGUUUUAUCAGCUCUA